GACCCCGUAGCUCAACUGGAUAGAGCACUAGCCUUCUAAGCUGGGGGUUCCGGGUUCGAGUCCCGGCGGGGUCGCCA
rnacentral:tRNA from 1 species